AUACUCGCCUGGAGAAUCCCAUGGAUUAAGGUGCCUGGUGGGCUAAAGUCCAUCGGGUCACAAAGAGUUGGACAUGACUGAAGUGUCUGAGCACGCACGCACACACACACGUUUCCAGCAUCAGCACAGAACUAGGUCCAGCUGCAACAGAGUAUUUGCUAAACUGAACUGAUUGUCUGUGGUGAGUUGUAUGUGAUCAAGGUCACAUAUAACUAGAGAGGAGGGAAAAAGAUAACCCUGUCACACACUGCUUCUCCAGGCUACCGGACCUUUCGCUGAAGAUGAAAGAAAGGGUUAGAGUUGGCGAUCCUGAGCAAGAUGGGAGAGUGCCAUCAGCCAUAAGAAGGUCAGACUUUCAAGGACUUACUUGGAGGCUCGAGACCACAGAGCAUGGCCAGAACCAGCCCAGCCUUUAGAAUUUAAGAACUCAGAGAGAUGAGUGAACGUCACUGUUGACCUCUACAGGCUAUCUCCUCCUCGGGGCUGUCAGAAAACCCAGCCCAGGGGCUUGAGACCGGCUCCACAGCAGGGGACACCGCCUGUAUCCAAGGGGCUGCAUGGACUGCAAGUGGUUUGUCAGUGGCUCCAGGAAGAAGGUUUUUUACCCGUUUGUCUGCUGCCUUUGUUUCCUUGAUUUAAAAAUCGAGAGGGGAGGAAAAAGAAGUCUCCAUUGUCUUCAGUGGAAGUAUCUUUGGAGAGCUGAGCAAUUGCAAGUGAGUGCUUCUGAGGCUCUGGAUGGUGGCAGGGCAGGAAGAGAAGCAGGAAGGUCCCAGUCUGACCAGACACUCUGCAGGCAGCCAUCUGCCAGGCCUGUGUGCCCACCCUCACUUUGUGUGCCGGCCUCAGACGACAGCCUGUCUUGGGGGCCUCCCUUUGUGCGAGCGACAUUCAGAAGAUCGUGUGCCACUGGUCAACAGAGUGGCCACGAUCUGUGACUGCUGAAGCCCUUGAAGCCCCAGAGGGCGCCUUCUUCUUCCCAUCUAGGCCCUCCAGACUGUGAUCAAACACAACCCAUGUUCUAAACAGAGCUCAAAGGGAAUAAAUAAUCUCUU